UUCAGAAGAAAAGAUAGUACAUGUUAUCGUAUCAUUUUAAAUAGAACUGCACACGAAAAUAAUCAGGAAAAAAGGCUAUCUUGUGGACUUUCAAGACAUUUAAAAAUAGCGUCGGGCAACUCUGAUUUCAAUGACAUGCACAGUUCCACAAGAGAGUGAGAGUCCUUGAAAUAUUCUGCAUCUAAAACCUUUGCAAGUUCAACAUCAAAAUGGCGGAGGGAGGGGGCUCUUUCUGGGGGAAGAGAAGGAAGAAAUGGCAAAGUCUUUAAAGCAAGGAGGUGGAGAGAGUGCUGGAUUUGGAGUUGGCAAGACCUGUAUCCAAAUUGUACUUCAGAUAUUUACUGGCUGAGUAGUCCUGGUUUACUUUACAGAUGAGAAAGCUAAAGCCAACAGGGUUAAGUGACUUGCCCAGGGACAGAAAACUAUUGGCGCAAUACCUGGCUGACAGGUGAGGCUCUACGUAAACCUUAAAGCAUUAUGGAGGGAGGCUUCAGCCGUCAGGAAGGUAAGGUCCUGGACCACUUGAUGCUGUGUUUGACAGAGUCAACUGCAAGCCAACCCUCCAGAGCACCAAGGAAAAUGCUAGAACACCACAAAGCGAACAUGCUGCAGUGAUCCAGCGUUCAUAAUUGCCCCAUGGAAGACGAAGGAUGUGAAACCGAACCCUCCUCUUGCUCGAAAGAGGCCGGACAAAGCUUCGCUGGCCUUGAGCAAUCUUUCAACAGGACUCCUGCAAACAGCUGGGCUAACUGAUAGAGACGAGGUCACAGACCUAACUUAAAAGCAUAUGGAGUGGCUUUGACUGGACCAUAAUUAGAAUCCCACAUCUUCCUGGCAUUCAGUCAGUAAUGUUGUGCUCAUCUAAUAGAAACCAGAAGUGGAAAAAUUCACCAAUGUUCAUAAAAAAGCAAAUAGCUCCGAGCACUUUAAGAACUCAAGCACUGAAUAUUAGUGCUGGCAUGUUUUAAAAAUAGCUGCCCAACCAAUACCAUUGCUGAAAGGACUGCUGAACUAUAUAAUUACAUUUGACAGGUUUUCAGAUCUCUUUUAUUUUAAAUUAUCUAUGUUGAUUGAAAACCAGAGGGCUAUCUUGAAAAUUAAUGGAGAGAAAAAGGAAUGUGCUUUCCUGAAGUAUCUGGGCACCACCUGUCAUCCUCACAAAACCUUGAUGGUAUGUUAAUGAUUCCAGGAAUAUAAGGGGAAACUGCUAUGUCUAACCUUGAGGGUCUGCUCCUGAGAUCCCAAGGCUGGGGGAGUUACACCUCCCCCUAUUUUUAUGCCCAGGCAUUCUUUUUGGGUUCAGUUCUGGGAAAACUUGCCUCCAAUAAAAGUAAUUAGAUUCUCUAUUGUUACUCUCA